GACGAACGCUGGCGGCGUGCUUAACACAUGCAAGUCGAGCGAUGAAGUUUCUUCGGAAAUGGAUUAGCGGCGAACGGGUGAGGAACACGUGAAGAAUCUGCCCUCCACUUUGGGAUAACACCGGGAAACCGGUGCUAAUACCGAAUAUUGAAACAUAAGUGGCAUCACUGAGUUUUGAAAGAAUUUCGGUGGAGGAUGACUUCGCGGCCUAUCAGCUAGUUGGUGAGGUAAUGGCUCACCAAGGCAACGACGGAUAGCCGGCCUGAGAGGGCGACCGGCCACACUGGGACUGAGACACGGCCCAGACUCCUACGGGAGGCAGCAGUGGGGAAUAUUGGGCAAUGGAGGAAACUCUGACCCAGCGACGCCGCGUGCGGGAUGAAGGCCUUCGGGUUGUAAACCGCUUUCAGUAGGGAAGAAGCGAAAGUGACGGUACCUACAAAAGAAGCACCAGCUAACUAUGUGCCAGCCGCCGCAGUAA
rnacentral:rRNA from 1 species